CCUCGGGACCGGGGUCCGGUGCGGAGAGCCCUUCAUCCUGGGAAACGGGUUGCAGCC
rnacentral:miRNA from 1 species